CUGCAUUUGGGUCAUCAUCCGUACUAGGAAUCAACUUUGACCGUUUGACUGAAUCUGGCCAGACAGUAUAUCCAUACACUUCAGAAAUCAUCCGGCUGCUUCUGUCCUCUUUCAGAUAAUCGCUAAACACCAGAUUCUCCGAUCAUUCACCAAUGUUGUCCUCUGUGGACGUCCAGGACUUUUUAUUCCAGAGGAUACUGGAACAUUGAUUAGUAAAUUAUUUUCUUAUCAGCCCAAUGUCAGUCAGAUUAAACCACAGAUAUCCCUCCAUGGCCACUAUUGCCACCAUCAAACUGCCAAGAGUUGCAGUUGUUUGUUUGGCAGCUCAGAGAGGUGCAGCUUGGCCAAAUUGGUCAGGGAAAAAGGCCCUGGCCAUCAUCUAGAUCAUUUAGCAGGUCAGCCUGUUAGGCUUCUAACACAACGAGUGUGAAAUGCUCCACCAGCUUGACCAUUUAAAUAUAAUGUGGUACACAGCAUUUUAUAUGUUGUUUCGGUCACCGAAAGAUAGCCUGCAAGAUAAAAUUAGACAAAAUACCUGUUUAUAUGAAAUUAUUUUUAUUUAUUUAUUUAACUCAUUUAGCACUUCAAAUAUUCAAACAGUCACUGAACUGAGGAAACAGCUCUGACUCAGACUGAAGGACAAAUGUGAUAUGUGAAUUCAUGGAUGCACUGAAUAAAUGGGUAUUAUGAACUUU